rnacentral:rRNA from 1 species
AGAGUUUGAUCCUGGCUCAGAUUGAACGCUGGCGGCAUGCCUUACACAUGCAAGUCGAACGGCAGCGCGGGGCAACCUGGCGGCGAGUGGCGAACGGGUGAGUAAUAUAUCGGAACAUACCCUAGAGUGGGGGAUAACGUAGCGAAAGUUACGCUAAUACCGCAUACGCACUAAGGUGGAAAGCGGGGGUUCGCAAGACCUCGUGCUCAUGGAGUGGCCGAUAUCUGAUUAGCUAGUUGGUAGGGUAAAAGCCUACCAAGGCGACGAUCAGUAGCUGGUUUGAGAGAACGACCAGCCACACUGGAACUGAGACACGGUCCAGACUCCUACGGGAGGCAGCAGUGGGGAAUUUUGGACAAUGGGGGCAACCCUGAUCCAGCAAUGCCGCGUAAGUGAAGAAGGCCCUCGGGUUGUAAAGCUCUUUUGUCAGGGAAGAAACGGCCUACUCUAAUACAGUGGGCUAAUGACGGUACCUGAAGAAUAAGCACCGGCUAACUACGUGCCAGCAGCCGCGGUA